rnacentral:lncRNA from 1 species
UCCCAGGAUGGCUGAGCUCCCUGAGGGCCCACAUUAUGCCCACUGGCAUUGGGCGAGCCCGGGCUGAACUCUUUGAGAAGCAGAUUAUCCAGCAUGGUGGCCAGGUGUGCUCUGCCCAGGCCCCAGGAGUCACUCACAUUGUGGUGGAUGAAGGCAUGGACUAUGAACGGGCUCUCCGGCUCCUCAGACUGCCCCAGCUGCCCCCUGGUGCUCAGCUGGUGAAGUCAGCCUGGCUGAGCUUGUGUCUACAGGAGAAAAAGCUGACAGACACGGACGGAUUCAGC